rnacentral:rRNA from 1 species
GACGAACGCUGGCGGCGUGCUUAACACAUGCAAGUCGAACGGAAAGGCCCUGCUUUUGUGGGGUGCUCGAGUGGCGAACGGGUGAGUAACACGUGAGUAGCCUGCCCUUGACUUUGGGAUAACUUCAGGAAACUGGGGCUAAUACCGGAUAGGAGCUCCUGCUGCACGGUGGGGGUUGGAAAGUUUCGGCGGUUGGGGAUGGACUCGCGGCUUAUCAGCUUGUUGGUGGGGUAGUGGCUUACCAAGGCUUUGACGGGUAGCCGGCCUGAGAGGGUGACCGGCCACAUUGGGACUGAGAUACGGCCCAGACUCCUACGGGAGGCAGCAGUGGGGAAUAUUGCACAAUGGGCGGAAGCCUGAUGCAGCAACGCCGCGUGCGGGAUGACGGCCUUCGGGUUGUAAACCGCUUUCGCCUGUGACGAAGCGUGAGUGACGGUAAUGGGUAAAGAAGCACCGGCUAACUACGUG